GAAAAUAGUUGUGAAUUUGUUAUUUUCUGCUGGACCUUAAUAUUUGCUCUUGAAGAUUGAGAACUUGAGAUUUCUUUUCCCCACUUCUUAAACCAUUAUCAUUUCCUCACAACUUUUCUUCACUCAUUCAAAGUUGGUAAAUCAUGAGCUCAAUUGAUGAGUUGGUGACUUGGUUUGUACAAUGAAGUUUUAUUUUUAUUUUGUUGACGUGUACUUUUCCUAAAUUGAUAUCUUAUUUUUGGCUUUAUACAUGUUUGGUACAAGUUCCUUGAGAACAUAUAAUUCCUCCUUUUGAUACUUUGACUUGAUUUUUAUAGUGCAAUUGAUUUGAAUUGAGUCAAAUAUAGUGUACUACUCAAAUUUGAGUGAAGCAUGAGCUCAAAUCGAC
rnacentral:misc_RNA from 1 species